CACGUAUCAACAUCACAUUUCGAAAACAAAAAGUGAAGUAACACUUAUAUCAAAGUAAAACUUUAACAAAUACUUAUUUAGAAAAUACUUCAAAGCUACCUAGGCCAAUGAAUCCAUAAUAUCCACGUACUCAAUUAUUUAUACUAAAAAUAUGUAAAACACUUAAAAAAAACUAAAUAGGCUAACAAAAUCAUAAUACUCACUUACCUUAGGUCCUUAGCAGUCGCAAUCUUAAUUUGGCAGAGUUUUGUCUUUAUUUAUGACAUUUUUCUCUUAAAAAUUUAGUAGAGUUUCUGGAUGAUUUUGAUCACUUUCUUGACUAAAAAAUAUCAAACAUAAUACUCAAAAACUAAUAUCGAAAGUUAAAGAGAAACCAAACUUCAAAACUUAAAAAAAAUACUUACCUAUCUAAUGGUUUAUAACAUUCUUUUUAUCGUGAACCUUUUUUUUCUCUUCCUUUACUAUCACGAAUUUAGUAGAGUUUUUCUAAGAUUUUAAUCUAAAACCUCACA
rnacentral:lncRNA from 1 species